CAGCCGUAAACUAUGCGCGUUAGGUGUGUCGGUAACCACGCGUUACUGAUGCGCCGAAGAGAAAUCGUGAAACGCACCACCUGGGAAGUACGGUCGCAAGGCUGAAACUUAAAGGAAUUGGCGGGGGAGCACCACAACAGGUGGAGCCUGCGGUUUAAUUGGAUUCAACGCCGGACAUCUCACCGGAUAAGACAGCUGAAUGAUUGUCAAUCUGAAGGUUUUACAUGACUAGCUGAGAGGAGGUGCAUGGCGUCAGUGACU
rnacentral:rRNA from 1 species